rnacentral:rRNA from 1 species
ACGGGUGAGUAACGCGUGGGAACGUGCCUUCUGGUUCGGGAUAACCCUGGGAAACUAGGGCUAAUACCGGAUACGCCCUUUUGGGGAAAGGUUUACUGCCGGAAGAUCGGCCCGCGUCUGAUUAGCUAGUUGGUGGGGUAACGGCCUACCAAGGCGACGAUCAGUAGCUGGUCUGAGAGGAUGAUCAGCCACACUGGGACUGAGACACGGCCCAGACUCCUACGGGAGGCAGCAGUGGGGAAUAUUGGACAAUGGGCGCAAGCCUGAUCCAGCCAUGCCGCGUGAGUGAUGAAGGCCUUAGGGUUGUAAAGCUCUUUUAUCCGGGACGAUAAUGACGGUACCGGAGGAAUAAGCCCCGGCUAACUUCGUGCCAGCAGCCGCGGUAAUACGAAGGGGGCUAGCGUUGCUCGGAAUCACUGGGCGUAAAGGGCGCGUAGGCGGCGUUUUAAGUCGGGGGUGAAAGCCUGUGGCUCAACCACAGAAUGGCCUUCGAUACUGGGACGCUUGAGUAUGGUAGAGGUUGGUGGAACUGCGAGUGUAGAGGUGAAAUUCGUAGA